GUCCACGCUGUAAACGAUGUCGACCAGCCGUUGGGGAUCUUGAAUUCUCAGUGGCGCAGUUAACGCGAUAAGUCGACCGCCUGGGGAGUACGGCCGCAAGGUUAAAACUCAAAUGAAUUGACGGGGACCCGCACAAGCGGUGGAGUAUGUGGUUUAAUUCGACGCAACGCGAAGAACCUUACCUGCUCUUGACAUGUCGAGAACUUUCCAGAGAUGGAUUGGUGCCUUCGGGAACUCGAACACAGGUGCUGCAUGGCUGUCGU
rnacentral:rRNA from 1 species